UAAACCACAUUUCAAGCAGGCUUCUCGGUGAGUUGUAAUUUCUGUGUCCGACUCCUCAUCAGGGCCGAUUCCAUAGACGCUGUAUUUACCUAGUACUGUGCACCCUGAGUGGCUCCUUCCAGGAGUGAAGAAGAGUGCCGAGUUACCAUUUCUUGUUUUAAGCUCUUGCUUCCAUUAUCUUCAAAACACAUUUCCUUCACAUGAAACUUCUUAAGCCACUUGCUCAUUUUGUUAGGGUUAGUUUAAUUAAAACCAGAGACUAUAAUCCACAAAUCCACUUACCCAGGCAAUUCGCUGAAACAGAAUAGACCUGCAUGGGCCCCUCUAUGCUUCAGGCCUCCCCCUGCUGCGAGGGGAUGUGGCUGUCCGAACACCAGGGCUGAGAAAGGACCUCCGGAGGGCGGUGCCGUCUUUACAGUAGGCAUUGAUCAAGCUGAUUGCUUUCUUGUUGUGGAGUAACACAGGUACAAAAUAGAAGUUCUAAUGUUUUCUUCUCACACCCUGUGGUAUUCAUAGAAGUUCCAGCAUAUUUUUUGCAGCAUAUUCACCAGUGGCUUGGCCUGCAUGGAGGGUUGGUGCUCCAUUUUGGGGACCCCUGGGCUGGGUCCUCUGCUAUCCUUCGCAAGGCUAACUUGUCCUCCAGGCUCUGGAGACUCGCCUGCCCCCCAGGAAGAGAGGCAGAGAACAUGCACAGCAUGCACUCGAGCCUGACUCCCCAGCUGCAUCAGGACCCCCCCUCGCUCUGGUCACAGCCACCUUCCUCCCUUUGGUCAAACAUGAUGCUGACCAUACCACUGGGUACAAGCGACCCCCUGAAGCCUCUGAGGGCAAGCUCCUGCUCUCUGUGCUCACGCUGCCCACACAGGCCAGUGCUGAGGGGUGCUGAGGAUGCACGGUGGAGGAAGGAAUGGGAGAAGAGUUUGGAUCUGCUCUGAACACGCGGGGAGAAGACCUGCUCCUCUCUCUCACCACAGCCCACCAUGCCCCAGCACACAGCUGUGUCUGCUGUACAUCUCACACCUGCCCCUCCUGUCUUCCCCACACUCAGCCACCAGUCGGAAAGCUGUGACCCCUGCUUCCCAGCUUCCCCUCUAGACACCCCUGCACCCCCAGGACUCACGGCACGUCCCUGCUUAGAUGCUGUCCAUGGUUCCCCCACCGCGUUUAAAGGCUACACCUGCCCAGGCGCGAGGCUCACUGUUGGCCCUGGCUAGCUGCUCCCCCACCACCCCGCACUGGGCCUCCUUGCCCUUUUUGUCCUUGGAACCUUGGCACAGGCUUGGGAUGCUCCCCAGCUCUACACAGCCACCCUGCUCCAUGUCCCUUGGAACCUAGGCAGGGCCUCCUGCUGUAAGCCUCAUGUGUUUCUCUUCUCUUUAAAGGCCGCAGUGUACCCACACACCCAGUGGGCGUUUGCUAAAGGCAGGCACACAAGAGCAAAGAAAGGGAAGGAGAAAGGAACAGCAUGCCCUAUCCUGGGAGGUGAGGCAGUGGGCAAGGCCCCAGGCUCUGGGCUGAAGGCGGCCUCUGCAAUCCUAGGUGACACCAAGGUCCAGGUGGGGUGGGGGUGAGCGGCAUACCUGAUGGGCACAAGGGUGUGGACAGGGCUGGAAGCAACUGUCCCAGUGUGUCCUGCUUUCCCUCCCUGGGGGGUCCCUUGGGCAUCUCAGCCUGGUGAGGCACUUUCCUCCCUCCAAGUGCUGGCACGUGACCAAGAGAGGGUGGCAUCAGGAAGCACCUGUGCCUGUGUCUGUGUGAAUCAGAUCUGCCUGUCGCCGUGAGCUUUGUGUCUGCCUGGAUUGGUGCGGGGGUGUGUGUGUUUGUGUACCGGCGUGUGAUUGUUUUGGUUUGCUGUGAUGAGUGUGGGUGUAUUUCUGUGGGGGCCAUGAGUGCUCUGUGGGGGUGUCUGCUGUGGGGGUGGGUCUGGGUCCCCACAUGCCCGCGGAGCUGUGUGUAGGUGUCUGUGUGCUCCUCGAGCCUUCAUGCUUCAGCUUCCCCCACCACAGCCCCGCCAGACCCUGCCCAGUUCCCCACUCUUUGCUCCCCCCAGUUCCCAUCACCUAGCAACAACAGAAUCAAAGCAGUGGCCUCUGCAGACAAAGAAGGUGUCUCUAGGAGGGAAGAGCUGGGAGGUGGGAAGUGGGGGAGGGGCCCCAGACCAGGCUCAGAGCAUAUCCUUGCUCCUGGCCUCCACCGCAGAAGGUGGCUCACCCCUCUGCAUGGAACAGUCUCUCUCCAUUCCCUCUACCCUGGCCUUCCUCCUCCUUGCAGGCCCCAGAAGCUGGAGGGGGCUGGUCGGGGUUGGGCUCACAGACACAGUGGUGGAGCUCACAGAAGUGCCCCCACCCACCAGGAGCCCAGGAUGCAGGCCUGCUGCAGAUCCAAGUCCUGUGACCGGGGUCCUGCCCAAGGGUCCUGCUUCCCUAGGCAUCCCAGAAGUUCAGCCUGCAUCUCGACCAGAGCCUGAGAGUAGACACCUGCCGGUUUAUCUGUCCCUUCAUGUAGCAGGUGACAGAGGUGCCAGGGGCAUGGCAGGGGUACUCUGACACAGCACUGCCCCACGGAGCCCAUGUCCCAGGGCAGAAGACCCACGAUGCACAGCCAGCCAGGUGGCCUCAUCCGAUCAGUCAAAGGCCUCAAUAGAACCAAGACUGACCUCUGCCAAAGAGAGAAUUCUUUCAGCAGACGGCCUUCGGACUUGAGCUAUGACGGCAACUCUUCCCCGGGCCCACCUGACGGACUGGGUUUCUCAGCCUCCACAGUCGUGUGAGCCAAUUCCGUAAGAUAAAUCUCUCUCUCUUCUCUCUCAAUCUCUCUCUCAAUCUCUCUCUCUCUCCAGGAAAGAACUCCAGGGUAGCUGGGAGCUUGGUAUGUUCCAGGACAGCAGGGAGGCCAGAGCCGCUGUCAGUGUGAG
rnacentral:lncRNA from 1 species